rnacentral:rRNA from 1 species
CCUACGGGAGGCAGCAGUGAGGAAUAUUGGUCAAUGGACGAGAGUCUGAACCAGCCAAGUAGCGUGAAGGAUGACUGCCCUAUGGGUUGUAAACUUCUUUUAUAUGGGAAUAAAAUGUUCCACGUGUGGGAUUUUGUAUGUACCAUAUGAAUAAGGAUCGGCUAACUCCGUGCCAGCAGCCGCGGUAAUACGGAGGAUCCGAGCGUUAUCCGGAUUUAUUGGGUUUAAAGGGAGCGUAGGUGGAUUGUUAAGUCAGUUGUGAAAGUUUGCGGCUCAACCGUAAAAUUGCAGUUGAAACUGGCAGUCUUGAGUACAGUAGAGGUAGGCGGAAUUAGUGGUGGAGCGGUGAAAUGCUUAGAUAUCACGAAGAACUCCGAUUGCGAAGGCAGUUCACUGGACUGCAACUGACACUGAGGCUCGAAAGUGUGGGUAUCAAACAGGAUUAGAGACACGAGUAGUC